CUGCACCCAAUUAGCCGACUGUGCUGCCAUUCCCAUGGCGCCAGGUGUGCAGUGGCUGCAAACGGCUGCCUCCUGGGUAGUGUAUGCAACCUGUUGCUUGUACAGGCAGCCCUAAGGGACCCUUCUUGCUUUG
ensembl:snoRNA SNORA70 Small nucleolar RNA SNORA70